rnacentral:rRNA from 11 species
CCUUAGGUCCAAAAUAUCCUAAAGGCACCAGAUCCCAUUUGACCUUGGAGGCUAAAGUAAUGCCAGCCCUAGUUAGCACUGGGAUGGGAGACUGUCAAUGAAUGCCAGGUGCUGUACACC